rnacentral:rRNA from 1 species
GACGAACGCUGGCGGCGUGCCUAAUACAUGCAAGUAGAACGCACAGUUUAUACCGUAGCUUGCUACACCAUAGACUGUGAGUUGCGAACGGGUGAGUAACGCGUAGGUAACCUGCCUGGUAGCGGGGGAUAACUAUUGGAAACGAUAGCUAAUACCGCAUAAUAUUGAUUAUUGCAUGAUAAUUGAUUGAAAGAUGCUAUUGCAUCACUACCAGAUGGACCUGCGUUGUAUUAGCUAGUAGGUGAGGUAACGGCUCACCUAGGCGACGAUACGUAGCCGACCUGAGAGGGUGAUCGGCCAAACUGGGACUGAGACACGGCCCAGACUCCUACGGGAGGCAGCAGUAGGGAAUCUUCGGCAAUGGACGAAAGUCUGACCGAGCAACGCCGCGUGAGUGAAGAAGGUUUUCGGAUCGUAAAGCUCUGUUGUAAGAGAAGAACGGGUGUGAGAGUGGAAAGUUCACACUGUGACGGUAUCUUACCAGAAAGGGACGGCUAACUACGUG